rnacentral:rRNA from 1 species
GACGAACGCUGGCGGCGUGCCUAAUACAUGCAAGUUGAGCGAUGAAGAUUGGUGCUUGCACCAAUUUGAAGAGCAGCGAACGGGUGAGUAACGCGUGGGGAAUCUGCCUUUGAGCGGGGGACAACAUUUGGAAACGAAUGCUAAUACCGCAUAACAACUUUAAACAUAAGUUUUAAGUUUGAAAGAUGCAAUUGCAUCACUCAAAGAUGAUCCCGCGUUGUAUUAGCUAGUUGGUGAGGUAAAGGCUCACCAAGGCGAUGAUACAUAGCCGACCUGAGAGGGUGAUCGGCCACAUUGGGACUGAGACACGGCCCAAACUCCUACGGGAGGCAGCAGUAGGGAAUCUUCGGCAAUGGACGAAAGUCUGACCGAGCAACGCCGAGUGAGUGAAGAAGGUUUUCGGAUCGUAAAACUCUGUUGGUAGAGAAGAACGUUGGUGAGAGUGGAAAGCUCAUCAAGUGACGGUAACUACCCAGAAAGGGACGGCUAACUACGUG